rnacentral:rRNA from 1 species
UACGUAGGGUGCGAGCGUUGUCCGGAUUUAUUGGGCGUAAAGAGCUCGUAGGCGGUCUGUCGCGUCGGAUGUGAAAACCCAGGGCCCAACCCUGGGCCUGCAUUCGAUACGGGCAGACUAGAGUAUGGCAGGGGAGACUGGAAUUCCUGGUGUAGCGGUGAAAUGCGCAGAUAUCAGGAGGAACACCGGUGGCGAAGGCGGGUCUCUGGGCCAAAACUGACGCUGAGGAGCGAAAGCGUGGGGAGCGAACAGG